AGUGAACGCUGGCGGUAGGCCCAACACAUGCAAGUCGAACGGCAGCACAGUAAGAGCUUGCUCUUACGGGUGGCGAGUGGCGGACGAGUGAGGAAUACAUCGGAAUCUACUUUUUCGUGGGGGAUAACGCAGGGAAACUUACGCUAAUACCGCAUACGACCUACGGGUGAAAGCAGGGGAUCUUCGGACCUUGCGCGAUUGAAUGAGCCGAUGUCGGAUUAGCUAGUUGGCGGGGUAAAGGCCCACCAAGGCGACGAUCCGUAGCUGGUCUGAGAGGAUGAUCAGCCACACUGGAACUGAGACACGGUCCAGACUCCUACGGGAGGCAGCAGUGGGGAAUAUUGGACAAUGGGCGCAAGCCUGAUCCAGCCAUACCGCGUGGGUGAAGAAGGCCUUCGGGUUGUAAAGCCCUUUUGUUGGGAAAGAAAAGCAGCAGGUUAAUACCCCGCUGUUCUGACGGUACCCAAAGAAUAAGCACCGGCUAACUUCGUG
rnacentral:rRNA from 1 species